GCGUAACGCGUGGGAAUCUACAUCCAGGUGCGGAAUAACACAGAGAAAUUUGGGCUAAUACCGCAUAAUCCCUCCGGGGCAAAGAUUUACGCCUGGGGAUGAGCCCGCGUUAGAUUAGGUGGUUGGUGAGGUAAAAGCUCACCAAGCCGACGAUCUAUAGCUGGUCUUAGAGGACGAUCAGCCACACUGGUACUGAGACACGGACCAGACUCCUACGGGAGGCAGCAGUGAGGAAUAUUGGACAAUGGGGGCAACCCUGAUCCAGCCAUGCCGCGUGAAUGAAGAAGGCCUUAGGGUUGUAAAGUUCUUUCAGUUGCGAAGAUAAUGACGGUAACAACAGAAGAAGCUCCGGCUAAAUUCGUGCCAGCAGCCGCGGUAAUACGAAUGGAGCGAGCGUUGUUCGGAAUCACUGGGCGUAAAGCGUAUGUAGGCGGAGUGGAAAGUCAGGAGUGAAAUCCCAGGGCUCAACCCUGGAACUGCUUCUGAAACUUCCAUUCUAGAAUUCUGGAGAGGCAAGGGGAAUUCCGAGUGUAGAGGUGAAAUUCGCAGAUAUUCGGAGGAACACCAGUGGCGUAGGCGCCUUGCUGGACAGAUAUUGACGCUGAGAUACGAAAGCGUGGGGAGCAAACAGGAUUAGAUACCCUGGUAGUCCACGCCGUAAACGAUGUGUGCUAGUUGUUGGGCAGUUUACUGUUCAGUGACGCAGCUAACGCAUUAAGCACACCGCCUGGGGAGUACGGUCGCAAGAUUAAAACUCAAAGGAAUUGACGGGGAC
rnacentral:rRNA from 1 species